GACGAACGCUGGCGGUGUGCUUAACACAUGCAAGUCGAACGGUAAGGCCCUUUCGGGGGUACACGAGUGGCGAACGGGUGAGUAACACGUGAGUAACCUGCCCUCAUCUCUGGGAUAACAGUCGGAAACGGUUGCUAAUACUGGAUAUGAGCUUGCAAGGCAUCUUGUGGGUUGGAAAGAUUUUUUUGGUUGGGGAUGGACUCGCGGCCUAUCAGCUUGUUGGUGAGGUAGUGGCUCACCAAGGCUUCGACGGGUAGCCGGCCUGAGAGGGCGACCGGCCACAUUGGGACUGAGAUACGGCCCAAACUCCUACAGGAGGCAGCAGUGGGGAAUAUUGCACAAUGGACGGAAGUCUGAUGCAGCAACGCCGCGUGCGGGAUGACGGCCUUCGGGUUGUAAACCGCUUUCAAUUGUGACGAAGCUUUUUUGUGACGGUAGCAGUAGAAGAAGCACCGGCUAACUACGUG
rnacentral:rRNA from 1 species